rnacentral:lncRNA from 1 species
CUUGAGCAUUGUACAAACUAUUGCCUCUUGCCUGUUGUUUUCCACAGGUAAAAACCAGGGCACAGCUGAGAGAGAGAGUCGCCCAGUUGUAAUAACCUUCCCUGCAGAUGCAUUUCAAACUGCGCAUUGACCUCUGCUCCUGAUUAGCUUCAGCUCCACUUCAACAGACCCUCAUCUGCAAGCAGGGAUGACAGUCACAACACAGCAAGGACCCAACACCUACCACCAAGAGGGACGUGGCCCCAGCAGAGGCACCCAGGCCAGUGCCAGCCAGCGUCCAAGGAGGCAGUUGGACCAUCUUGCCCAAGGUGGAUUUCUGAAACAAAGCAGCCUUUCCUUUUGCAGAAGUGAGUGGAGAAUUAUAGCACACAAGGCUUCCGACAAGCCAGCAGCAAUCCUCAAGCAACAGAAACCUUGCUGCAGAAGCCUGGUGCUCCGUUCGAAACUGGUAAGCAAUUAAACAAAUACACAAAAAUAAUAAUCCAGUUGUUUUCAUCAACCUCUUAUUAAAAAAAAAAACCAGAUUGCUUAAGGAAGGCCAUUAUUAAUGGUGUCACCUAUCAAGAGAGCUGAGAAUAUGACCUGGAUCCCACAGCCAUGUAGCAGGGACAGAUGGGAAGGAGGUGCUGCUGCCACUUCCCAAAAAAUCUAAGCUUUCAUUUUUUAAAAAGAAGCAAAUUUCUGGAUCUCAUGGCAAUGUAUGAGCAAUGUGCAGCAAAAUCUUAGAAGCCAAAAGGAAUGAAUAAAUGG